UAAAAAGUCGUAACAAGGUUUCCGUAGGUGAACCUGCGGAA
rnacentral:rRNA from 1 species